rnacentral:rRNA from 1 species
GACGAAGGAUGCAAGCGUUAUCCGGAUUCACUGGGUUUAAAGGGUGCGUAGGUGGGUCUGUAAGUCAGUGGUGAAAUCUCCAAGCUUAACUUGGAACUGCCGUUGAUACUAUAGAUCUUGAAUGUUGUGGAGGUGAGCGGAAUAUGGUCAUGUAGCGGUGAAAUGCUUAGAUAUGAACAUAGAACACCAAAUUGCGAAGGCAGCUCAC